rnacentral:lncRNA from 1 species
CCCAGAACCUAGCAAGCAUUCAAGUAAUGUUUCCGAAUGAGACAAUCAAUAAAGCUAUAGAUCAAUCAAAGCAUUUGUAAGGAAGGUGCCAUCCCAGUCUGGUAUUGAGUGAUGAGUAGAAUUGAAGAGCGUUUGUCAGCAAAAGAAACUGUAUAGAUAAAGAAAAAGAAAAACAGAAAAAGAGGGAGCCAACACAGACCAGAGAACGGGGCCGAAAUGAAGUAAGUAAAAAAUCAGAUAAAUGUAUACAGACAAAAACAGACCUUAUGCUCCCAUGAAUAUUUCAAAAUUCACACUGCACUGAUGUAUUUAGACAAGGAGGGCAACUGGAGCUUUUAAAGGACAAAGACCUUUGAUUCUUGAGAGCUGUUUCUCUUAAUUAUACACACAUAUGCAUAUAUACAUUUAUGACAC